UACGUAGGAGACGAGCGUUGUCCGGAGUUACUGGGCGUAAAGGGUGCGCAGGUGGCGGCGCGCGUGGGGGGUGAAAUCGCCCGGCUCAACUGGGCGGGGUCAGCGGAUACGGUGUGGCUCGAGCAAGCUAGGGGGCAAUGGAAUUCCCGGUGUAGUGGUGGAAUGCGUAGAUAUCGGGAGGAACACCAGUGGCGAAGGCGGUUGCCUGGAGCUUUGCUGACGCUGAGGCGCGAAAGCGUGGGGAGCGAUCCGG
rnacentral:rRNA from 1 species